GGAGGGAUGGCAGAGCGGUUGAAUGCACCGGUCUUGAAAACCGGCGAAGGUUUGCGCCUUCCCAGGGUUCGAAUCCCUGUCCCUCCGCCA
rnacentral:tRNA from 4 species